GGAAAGAGUGUCCGGUGGAUUGGGUUGAAGAAGAAGAAGAAGAAGAAGAAGAAGAAGAAGAAGAAGAAGAAGCGAGGGCAAACCAAAGGCCCAAUAGCCAUUCCCCUCUUAUCUGAUAUCUCUCUUUUCCUCUUCAAAAAUUGCUUAUACGACACAUGGGCAGACCUCCUCUCCACCGCAACGCACACACCUUCAGACCUACUCCCACCAUCAAGUUCCUCUGCAGCUACGGCGGCAAGAUCCUCCCUCGUUAUCCCGACGGUAAACUCCGUUAUCACGGUGGCGAAACCCGCCUUCUUGCUGUUAACCGCUCCAUUUCCUUCUCUGAGCUCUUGUUGAAGUUCGGGGAGCUCUGCGGAAUGUCAAUUUCUGUCAGCUUCCGUUGCCAGUUGCCUAGAGAAGACCUCGAUGCUCUAGUCUCCGUCACUUCCGAUGAAGAUCUCGCGAAUCUCAUCGAGGAAUACGAUCGAGCGGCUUCCCCUUCCUCAUCGUUGAAGAUCAGAGCAUUUCUUUCCCCUCCGAAACAUGCCAAAAGAAUAUCGCCUCCUUCUUCGAUGCCCUCCUUCUCCUUCUCCUCCUCCUCCUCCUCCUCGUCGAUGUCGGUGGCUCACCCGUUGCUUUCGUCGGAUGUCACCGCCAAAUGCUUCCUACUUGGAAAGAUCUGCAUCUGCGGUUCCUUUCAGUGUAUAUAAUAAUGUUCAAGGAAGUUCUACCUCUGGCCACAUAUUCAUCCACAAUGGUAGCAGCUGGGGAUAACACCAACUCUUCCAACAGCGGACCGGAUUGCCAAACAGAAACCAAAUUACUUGAACUAUACAUAUUAUUCACAAAAAGGGAAUUAAAAUUCGAGUUACUCAAAGAGAGGCCAAUACAAUGAGCUUUGGCACCAAGAAAUUCUCACGGUUGGAAUCGGAGAUUAAAGCUGCGGUGGACAAACGAUUUUCUCAAGGCAUUGCUGCGGCUGGAGAAGCUGAAACACACAGGAGAGGGCCCAUAUCCCAUGUGGGGUGAUAGCUUUUUGGAAUCUUGAUCAAUGGGACACAGUAUAUUACUAUCUGAAAUAAAUUCAUUCAAGAUUUGAUAUAAAAUCAGACCAGACAAAAUGCGGAAUGAAUGCUGGUGCAUGGGAUUAAAAACAAAUUUAAUUACAAUCUCUCAAAACAGUGACAAGGGACUUGAAGUUUUUUUAUAUUUGAAAGAGAUGAAGAACUUGCCUUUGCCUUCCACAAAAUUGGAGAUUCCUCUUAGAAAGAGACAUGCAUGGCCUAUGGAUAUACAGCACGCUAUAAAGACAAACUAAUCCAAACAAUUAAUGGAAAUGUAAGCCAAAAUCUAUUUGGAUUAAAAUCGAAGAAUCUUUUUCUUAUAGUUCAUUGAAGAUUCCACCCUUCCUUCACAAAAGUGAAAAUACAAUUCUAACUUUUGUAUG